GGAAAGGGGGAAUAUGGGAGGAGAGAUGUGGUGAGGGGGCUUGGGGAAGAACUUUGGGUCUCCAGAUUCUAUUGUUAGUACCCAGGAAGUUGUCGGCUUUUUUCCUUGUGAUUCACUGCUGUGCCAUGGAGUUGGAGUUAGACAGAGCUGAAAUAUUCAGUCCCUUUCAUUCACUGUCUUUAUUAAUGAGCCAAUAUCUCUGACGUUUGUUCCACAUGAUUUUCAGCCCAUAUCAAAGCACUAACAUGAUUUAGAGUUGGAGCAAACAUCCACGUUUAUUAUAUUUCAUGAAUAUUUACCGAGGACCAACUAUGUGCUGGGUGCUGGGCAAGAUCCCCCUGCUAGGGAGACAGAAAGAAUGGGUUGCAGAGCCCCGCGUUUGGGUGCUCUCAGGCUCCAAGGGGAGAAGGGGUUGGAGAUAGGGUGUGGGGGAGGGGGAGGGGAGGAGCUUAGACCCGGACACAAAGACUGCAAGAGAGGGCUACCAAGACUGGCUCCUUUUCACACCAGGAGGACCCGGAUUAGGCACCGAUCCACCUGCAGCUGGGAAUGUCCCACUCUGAGGGAUUGGGUUGAUGGAAGAAGACCCCCAUCCGCCGUCUAAUUGGGCUGUGGGUGAAAAACAAAGAUGUGGCACGUUUGGGGAGUAAAAUCUGGCUGGCACGUGUUCGCCCGCUUCUGGACUUGUGGCUCUUCUCUCAGUCGGCUUGGCGUUGGAGUCCCCUGAGCAUGGGCAACUCCCCUGUCAUCUCCCUGAGGGAGGGAUCUGGUGACUUCAUCUCUGAAGCUUCCUGGUGUGCAGCACAGAACCAGUGUCCGAGGGUUGGAUUAGACCUUGGAGAAGUCAUGUCUUCUCUCCGGCCCUUGACUUCCCUAGCUGUAAAAUGGGCAUAAUGCCUUCAGUCCUUUCUCCUUCCCAAGCUUUUAAAGAAGACUCUAAGGGCGCCUGGGUGGCUCAGUGGGUUAAAGCCUCUGCCUUCGGCUCGGGUCAUGAUCCAGGGUCCUGGGAUCAAGCCCCGCAUAGGGCUCUCUGCUCCGCAGGGAGCCUGCUUCCUCCUCUCUCUCUGUCUGCCUCUCUGCCUAGUUUCGCUCUGUCAAAUAAAAAAAAAUAAUUAAAAAAAAUAAUAAAGAAGACUCUAGUUCCUGCUCUGCAUUCAAGCAAAUUGGAUUUUUUUUUUUCUCUCUUAGCCUCCACGCUGCUGCGUA
rnacentral:lncRNA from 1 species